UACGUAGGGGGCCAGCGUUGUUCGGAUUCAUUGGGCGUAAAGCGCGUGUAGGCGGCCAGGUAGGUCCGAUGUGAAAUCUGGAGGCUCAACCUCCAGCGGUCAUUGGAAACCAUCUGGCUAGAGUCCGGAAGAGGAGAGUGGAAUUCCUGGUGUAGCGGUGAAAUGCGCAGAUAUCAGGAGGAACACCGAUGGCGAAGGCAGGUCUCUGGGCCGAUACUGACGCUGAGGAGCGAAAGCGUGGGGAGCGAACAGG
rnacentral:rRNA from 1 species